AAGAUUGGAAGGAUCUAAAGGGGUUCCUAGGCUCAAGCAAUGAAAAUCAAAGUGUGCACAUCUAAUCCAAACUAUCAUCCACAAUUUCAAGUUCAUAGAGAAAGAAAGCAACCAAACCUAGGGGAAAACUACAAUAAUAAUAAUGAUACUACAUGCUCAACUCAAACUGGUGCAACAUCUUUUUUCUCUUUUCUUUUCUUUUUUCUUUUUUUUUUAAUUUUUUUUCUUUUUUUUUUUCCUUUCUUUUUAUACAGCAGCACCCUUCUGAUUUUUUUUUCUAUAUCACUCCUCAACAUGCAACAAUUAUUUCCAUAAUAUCCCCACAAAUCGUCUCCCAAACUCAAUCUGAAUUCACUGCCACUGUUUGGCCAAACGGAUCAUAGACCCUUAUCAUCUAGCACAAGACAGCAGUUUGGGCAAACGACACAUGCAACCACAGCUUAACUUUCUCUAGUAAUUAAUGGAAUGAAGUUCAGAAUUAG
rnacentral:lncRNA from 1 species